UGGAAUGCGGUUUGCUUCAAGGAAGAAUGGAACGAAGAAGACCCUUUGUCAAAGGAGGGGCAGACGUGGUGUGAAGGCACGAAAUAUGACCAUGAGGGUCAGAAGACCUCUACGAGGUAGCUUCAGAAAGAAAAUCCGACCGUAUGCCACUCAAUCGACGAAGCCAAAGAAAACAAGAAAUUCAAACCGUUUCUUCUCUGGCUGUGGACGUAAGAAAUCACAUCGAAGCCGAAAGAGGUACCAAAAUAUGAGGCAAAGUCAUGGAAGGGGGCAGAAUCCAAAGAGAAAAUAAGCUCAGCCGCCCCAAAACAAGAGACCCUGGAGAAGUACAACGUUGGCAGCCAGUUAAUGAAUAGCAAAGGUCAGACAGUUUAGAAUUGUGUCUCCAGGGCUCUGCUUUGUUAGCAAUGGCCAACCGAGAAAAGACUCUCACACUAACAUAGUAAGCCGAUGGCUGCAAAUAAAAGAAACCUCAAAUGGUGAAAAGAUGA